UACGGAGGGUGCAAGCGUUAUCCGGAUUCACUGGGUUUAAAGGGUGCGUAGGAGGGCAGGUAAGUCAGUGGUGAAAUCCCCGAGCUUAACUUGGGAACUGCCGUUGAUACUAUCUGUCUUGAAUGUUGUGGAGGUGAGCGGAAUAUGUCAUGUAGCGGUGAAAUGCUUAGAUAUGACAUAGAACACCAAUUGCGAGGGCAGCUCGCUACACAAUUAUUGACUCUGAGGCACGAAAGCGUGGGGAUCAAACAGG
rnacentral:rRNA from 1 species